GAUGAACGCUGGCGGCGUGCCUAAUACAUGCAAGUCGAGCGAACAGACGAGGAGCUUGCUCCUCUGACGUUAGCGGCGGACGGGUGAGUAACACGUGGAUAACCUACCUAUAAGACUGGGAUAACUUCGGGAAACCGGAGCUAAUACCGGAUAACAUGUUGAACCGCAUGGUUCAACAGUGAAAGACGGUCUUGCUGUCACUUAUAGAUGGAUCCGCGCCGCAUUAGCUAGUUGGUAAGGUAACGGCUUACCAAGGCAACGAUGCGUAGCCGACCUGAGAGGGUGAUCGGCCACACUGGAACUGAGACACGGUCCAGACUCCUACGGGAGGCAGCAGUAGGGAAUCUUCCUCAAUGGGCGAAAGCCUGACGGAGCAACGCCGCGUGAGUGAAGAAGGUCUUCGGAUCGUAAAACUCUGUUAUUAGGGAAGAACAAAUGUGUAAGUAACUAUGCACGUCUUGACGGUACCUAAUCAGAAAGCCACGGCUAACUACGUG
rnacentral:rRNA from 1 species